rnacentral:rRNA from 1 species
AUUGAACGCUGGCGGCAUGCCUUACACAUGCAAGUCGAACGGCAGCACGGGAGCUUGCUCCUGGUGGCGAGUGGCGAACGGGUGAGUAAUGCAUCGGAACGUACCCGGAAGUGGGGGAUAACGUAGCGAAAGUUACGCUAAUACCGCAUAUUUUGUGAGCAGGAAAGAGGGGGAUCGCAAGACCUCUCGCUUUCGGAGCGGCCGAUGUCGGAUUAGCUAGUUGGUGGGGUAAAGGCCUACCAAGGCGACGGUCCGUAGCGGGUCUGAGAGGAUGAUCCGCCACACUGGAACUGAGACACGGUCCAGACUCCUACGGGAGGCAGCAGUGGGGAAUUUUGGACAAUGGGCGAAAGCCUGAUCCAGCCAUGCCGCGUGAGUGAAGAAGGCCUUCGGGUUGUAAAGCUCUUUCGGCUGAAAAGAAAUCGCACAGGCUAAUACCCUGUGUGGAUGACGGUAUCAGCAUAGGAAGCACCGGCUAACUACGUGCCAGCAGCCGCCGUAA